AGAGUUUGAUCAUGGCUCAGAUUGAACGCUGGCGGCAGGCCUAACACAUGCAAGUCGAGCGGUAGCACAGGGAGCUUGCUCCUGGGUGACGAGCGGCGGACGGGUGAGUAAUGUCUGGGAAACUGCCUGAUGGAGGGGGAUAACUACUGGAAACGGUAGCUAAUACCGCAUAAUGUCGCAAGACCAAAGAGGGGGACCUUAGGGCCUCUUGCCAUCAGAUGUGCCCAGAUGGGAUUAGCUAGUAGGUGGGGUAACGGCUCACCUAGGCGACGAUCCCUAGCUGGUCUGAGAGGAUGACCAGCCACACUGGAACUGAGACACGGUCCAGACUCCUACGGGAGGCAGCAGUGGGGAAUAUUGCACAAUGGGCGCAAGCCUGAUGCAGCCAUGCCGCGUGUAUGAAGAAGGCCUUCGGGUUGUAAAGUACUUUCAGCGGGGAGGAAGGUGUUGAGGUUAAUAACCUCAGCAAUUGACGUUACCCGCAGAAGAAGCACCGGCUAACUCCGUGCCAGCCGCCGCGGUAAUUC
rnacentral:rRNA from 1 species